UCACGGACGCAAGCAGCGCUCCAUUUAGGAGAGCGGAGGAGGUGCGGAGCUGACCGGCGGGAGACCGAGAGCACGGUGCGCCUGCCCUCCGUCUCCACUGCCUGCUGGGGCCCUGCGCCGGCUCACACCUCCCUUGCUGCUAUUAAUGCUCCGGAAACAAGGACCCUCAAAUGGUCCAGCUGGAAUUGGGGGUUUGGAGGUGUGGGUCCAGGGGAUGAGUGGGUUUGAGACCCUCGGGGCUGCUGCCCUUGGGGCUGCGUGAGCCCGGCCCUGCCAGCAUCUGCUUUCUGAUGCGGAUUUACCACCGGCCAAAUGAAUGCUGCCCCCGGGUGAGGCGUGUGGGACAUUGCAGGGUUUACUGUCACAGAUUAUCCUUUUCUCUUCCGUUUUCCCACUUGCCUGGGUGUUGUAACGGGGAGCCCUGGGUUGGCGGGUGGAGUGAGGGGGAGCCCAUGAAUGCGGUGCCCUGUGGCCACAGUGCCGGGGAACCCCCAGCUCCCAGCUCUCUUGCCUCCCCUGCGCACCCUGAUGUUCUAAAGAUGGGUCAUGGGAAUGUGCAUCUUUGUUCCAGUUGAGGGAAAUGCCAUUGGGCGUGUUGUCUUUCAAGGUACUCGUGGUUUUCGACUAUUUUUCUUCCUAUACAUUUUCCGUCUUUCUGGAAUUGACUCUGGGAGCCGUGGACAUGAGGAACAUUUUUGUUUUAUGUUUCACAAACAUUUUUCUUCACUUUAUCCUUUCAGGUUUUUGUGCGUACUUUUGUAUAGAAGUUGUAAAUUCUUACAAAAUCAAACGCGUCCAUGUUUUUAUUUUCUGUUUUCCAUCUUGGUCAUGGUGAGAAGACGCUUUCUUCACUUUUUUUUUACAGUUUCGCCUUUCACUUGGGCAGGGCGGAGUCUUGCGCAGGGAUGAGCAGGGAGGUGUGUUGGGGUGGGCGUGGGGUUGGAGGGAGAAGGCAGGCUGGUUGGAGGGCUGGGCUAGGUGAGCCUGGAGGGGUAAGAGGGGGAGGCAGGGUGCAGAGCAGAAGCAAUGGGUAAUGAACUAGGAGUGCAGACCGUUAGAAAUUACUGUCUCUGGAAAAAGUGCAGCUAGAUGUCAGCCCAGUGGAAUGACCUGCCCUUGUCGGGAGUUUACCCUUCCUCAAGUGGUGUUGCUUAGGAGUGUCGGUGUGGGAGGAAGGGGCUUUGGUCUGGACAGUGUGGGCACCAUCUGGCCGCACACUCUAGGCACGUCUGUGCGCCACGCUUCCCGGGCCCACGUGUGCCGGGGUCCCUCAGAAGGACCUUCUCUGAUGCAGCUGUGGGGUCACUCCUCAGAUGGCUUGUGGGCCUAGGGCUUUCCCCAGGGCCUUGCAUCCUGGCUUCUGGGCAGGACCGAGGCCUCUUGCCUUCCCUCCCUUUGUUCAGCUUCUCUUCCCUUCCCUCCAGGUUGAGGGUCUCUGGGCUGCUGAUGGCCGAAGGUUGUACAAUCUCUUACUUGGCCGGGAAGGCCUGUCAGGCACUUUGUUCUUACGACAGUGGCUCUCAGUGCGUAGCCCAAGGGGCAUGAUGGUAACAGUGUCACAGCAUUAAGAGGAUCCUUGCGUUCUCCCCCCUGAUCUCUCCGAGUGUGCAGUGCCUGUCUUCAGAGGCUGCACACUGGACUGUGACGCUGUUGCUUUGGCGGCUGCUGGACUGUGUGCUUUGUCGUUUUUGAAUCUUCUGUAGGAGUAGGUUUCAGGUUUACAGUAUAAAUAUGUGCAGGUUUAGACAUUUCUUGAGGCCUCGGUGUUUCUGCUGGGCUCUUAGUAGCUGUCUUCAGUUGCGUCUGCCAUAAUCACUGACUCACCGUCAUCCCGUAAAUCCUUGCGUUGAGAUCCUGACACACAACAGGACCUCAGGGCACUUGGCUGACUUGUUUUGCAAUAAAAUUUGAAGAUUUCUGAAAAACAUUUCUAAAUUUUAUCUGAAACUGUUAUUGUAGGUUUUAAUGAUACAUUCUAAAAUAAAAGGACAUUCAUAACAUUUUUCAUAUAUAAGUAGGGAACGUUGGCUCAGAGAGAUGUGCAUUCUCAGGCCACAGCAGCUGUGGCCACACCAAGGGCUGUCACCGCACUCUGCGAUGCAUGGGGUGGGGGGGAUGGGGGAGCUGCUCCAGAGACGCUGGGCAGAACUGAGCUGCGGAGCUACAGCACACCAGGGCUCUCUUCCCAUCAGAUGCACGGAUGUCCGCGCCUUCCGUCCAUGUGUCGGAACACAAUGGUUUUGCGUCUGGUCCCGGUGCUGGUGGAGCUACAGUGCUGGAGGCCCGUAGUUCAGGGUUUGAGUGAUAAAGGAAAGGCAAGGCUCGUCGUCAGUGUACGCAUGAGGAGUUCUAGCAACGCCAAGCUUCAGAAGCCCCCGGGGCCUCUUUCAGAGAAGCUGCCAUGUCCUUGCUGGACGAGUGCACUUGACAGCUGGGGGGCCAAGGGGUGUUGGGCCAUCGGCAUGGCGGAGUGCCUGCCUGGUGACUGUCGGGGGGCAGGGGGUCCCAGCACUGCCAUGGGUCCUGGCACAGCAGCUCUCCAGGUUACAGAGGCGGCUGCAGACGCCAGGAGUGAGUUGGCAUCCGUGCGGCCGGUUGUGUUUUUUCCUGACGGGUGGAGAGAUGUCCAGGUGCUGCUCACACUGCAAGCACUGAGCCGCACGCGGGCGCCGGGUCUGAGAGCCCGGAGUCACACGGAGGAGGAGGACAGUGAAUCGUGGUCGGUCAUGUGGGCGAAAACGAGGAGAUCACGGGUCAUCACAUGGUGGUGUUGGAAUCUCUACGGCCUAGAAGCCGGAGGUCACAGGCCUUUAGUCUUUCUGGACGUCCUGCAAGGUGUCUGCAUGUUUCUUGAGCUGAGCAACUUCCUUAUCCAGCUUCCGGUUGAUCACACUGGUUUAUCCUGGAGCAUUCGGGCUGCACAGAAGGCUCAGGAAGACUUCCUUCUCGGUGCCAUGCGUUCCCUCCACCAUCGUGUCCCCGGACGGAUCCUGGCUAGAUUUGCAACCGGUGUUCAGUGAGAUCAGCCAGACCGAAGCCAGUGGUCCGGUUGGUGUGUCCUUUUAGCUUGAUGACGUCGUAGGCACUUUCAGCCACCAUCGUGUAUGUGCCCCCUUCCAGUUUUUACUUUUAUCAUCUGUUCCCAUUUCUGGGUUCAGUUCCCGGGCAGAAAUGCCUGUCACAUUCAGUCCCCUCCACACAGCCACUCUUGAGUCUCCAUGUUCUCCCAGAGUCCAUCCAUGGCAGCUGCUGGGAUGAGUGCCAAGUGUUCAGCCCUGAAAUAGCAAAAUCUAACAGAAUCCAGAUGAUACGCCCUUGCAGCCACACCGCGCUCGUGCUCGGGUAGUCCCCCGGGUCCCAGGUCACACGUGAGACCGCCUGCUGGGCUGGAGACCACAGCCACAGCACCGCUAGGACCGCAGUUGCCUGUCCCAGGGACAGUGAACUGGAAGACACUGACAUCUGAGCCGCCUCCCUCUUCCCCGGGGCCUGCAGUUACCAGCCCAGGCCUGGAGUUGGCGUCGGAGAGUCACCUCUAUCUGCCGCGGUUUUAGCUUCAGAAGAAACAAGUUCCCGUGUUACAGACCCAUCAUCUCUCCUUUGAGUUUAUCUUCCAAAACACCCACAAGGGCAAGUUCAUCAGCCAGAGAGUUUCCCGGAAUGCUUCCAGCAUGCACCAUCCCAACUUGUCCAGCACCCAGUGGAGUGAUCUUACUGUCUGGGAAGGUUGCCCGCCCUGCAGUGCAGUCAGGUUUUCCGUCAGAGUUGCACGAAGAAGACAGUGUCUGCUGUGUGCACUGCCUCGGGUGCAGGGUCUGCCCCGAGUGCUCCUUGGGACUCUCGUGCUUGUUCUGGAACAGAUGUGUUGUUGACCUGUGCACCUGUGCUGCAGGAGCCUUGGUGGGCACAGCCGUGGGGGCAGGUCAGUGCUCGAGCACCUGGGGUCCCCACGCACGCACUCACGCACGCACGCACAGGAAGAACGGCAAGCGGACUCAAUUAGGAGUAGUCGUCAAAUCCCUGGUUUUGUUAGCGGUCUGAGUAGAAUGGGAAGUGUGCCAGGAGCAUCCAUCCCGUGCGAGUUCUCUGAAGCAGAGCCCUGGCGUCGGGAACCUGGCCAGCCUCUCCCUGCAUGGAAGACCGCUGUCACUGCCGUUUUACUGGCACGCUGUGGUUAUUCAGACUUGGCUCUGGGGCCGUUUUUUCUGGAAAAGGAGUGGAAUGAGCCCAUCACUUUAAGACAACUGCCAGUAUUGGUUACCAGAUGAGAUCGAAAUUAGGAUUUUGGGAAACUUCAUCUAUCACUGUGAGUUUGAUAUCUUCCCAGGACUUAGACUGUUGGGGAGAGAGGUAGUGACGGCAGUGAGUUGAUUGAUAUCGUGGGGGGUAACUUAUCAGUGUUGGGAUGAUUUCCAGGACUCAGCAAACUACUGUUUUCCAGGUGGGUGCUGGGGGCAGAGUUGUUCAGAGUGCCAGGUAGGCCAAGGAGUCCAAUGUCUGAGUGUGACAGUGCCACCGCCCACUCCCCACUCCAGGUGGCAGCGGACUUUGAAGGAACUCCACUGGUAGAGUUUGGGUGCUUUAUUAGAGAAGAACGCCCAUAGGUGUCCGAAAAGGCUUCUAAAGGCGCCCCCUCCUGUCCAGCUCCUUGCCUAAAUGAGGCUGAGUCCUGCAUGUGCUCCAGCCUGCCCAGCAGGGCACAGCCCACUGAAGGCCAAGGUUGACGGGAGCCUAGCUGUCUUUUCCAAAGUCAGAUGCUAAGAUUUGCAAAAUGUACAGCAGGGUCAGGCUUCCCAUGAAUUAUCUUUGUUUGGGGAAAAAUGACUCUUGAAUAAAAAUAUCACUUACAUUAGUAUAUGAUGGUUUUAUUUUUGGUUUUUAAUGAGUUAAAUGUAUAUUGGAAAAUGUCUCCAUUUUAAUUUCUUCCACAUAAACAUCAACGUGUAUAGCCUCAAUAAAGAAAAUCUCUUUGGGAUCUUCCAUCAAGUUUGAGGGUGUAAAGGGGUCCCCAGAGCUCACAUUUAGGGCAGACUGGUCAUAUUCACUUGUCCCUCCGUCAACUGUGUCAAAGCCCAGUGUGGAGAUCCUUCCUGAGGUGGUCAGAAGGGCCAUCUCAGGGUUCUGGCAGGCUCGCUUGGCUCCCCUGGCAGUGACUGUGCCCUACACUGGCUCAGACUUGCUUGUGGUCUCAGGCUCACGUUCUCCAGAAUGAUCUUCUUGGGGCCUGGGAGUUCCGAGAGGGAUAGGUGGAAGAGGAGAGAACCCAGGCUUUACCAUCAGGAAGAAGGAGUAUCUCGACACUGGCCCCCCUUGCGAAAGGACAGUGAGCAAGCCCGCGUGGACAUGGGCACAGAGCCGGUGGUGAGUGUCGCCUGUGUGUGCAGCAGGGCUGUGGGGAGCUGCCUGCUGACCACGCUCUGAGAGUCUCUGACUGAUCUGGUUUCGGCUGCAAGUCUGCAGGCAGCAUCUACCACUUGCCAACGAGGAAAAGGCGCCUCAUGCAGGGCUCAGGGGAGUGGAAAAUGACUUUUUGAAGUAAAAAAUUCAGAACGAUUCCUUUAAAAGUACGUAAACUUUUCAAGGUAGCUCACAAGCAGCCUGUUGUAACCUGACUGGUGAGUGCCCCGCGUGAUCGCAUUGUGGUGUGUGUGCUGAUAAUGGCACUUUUGAGCCUCUCCGUGUCCUGCCCCGUGGUCCUUUCACUGCAGCUGCUGGACCCAGUCAGGAGCCUGCGCUGGCUGUCCCCCUGUCCCCCCCCCCCCCCGGGAGGAGUGCGAGAGCAGGGGCUGCGCUUGCACGUGUGACAGGGCCUGGGAGCGUGCUGGCGCACACGGUCGGGCUGGGGUCUGUCGGUGGGGUCCUCGCAGCAGGGACGAGGAAGGGGCUUGCCUGCUUCCCUGCAGUGCCAGAAUACUCUGUUGCUGAGCCAUUGCAAUGGUGUCGGUGUCACUGUAAUACUGUCGUGGACAUUGGUGCUUGUAAUCUUCAUUUUUCUUUACUCUCUGAGGGUAGGUGGCUGGGAGUGGGAUUGUGUCUCCGCACAUCAUUUCCAAAUUGCUUUUUAUUUAUUUAUUUAUUUUUA